rnacentral:lncRNA from 10 species
AGCUCUCGGGCUGCCCCCAGCCCCAGCAGUAGCUGGGCUACUUCCACCGCUCCUUCCCGCGCCGCCAGGAAUAGCGGCGUCUGCUCCUGUACAGAAGAGCCAGGGCCGAUAUCAGGGAAGGCCACGCCCACAGGACUGGGCCUUUCUGCCUUCACUUGCGCGACCACUGGCCCCUAUCCCUUCAGGCUUUGCGGGUUACCGCACUUUCCAUCUCUCGUGCGCCUGACUGUUUUGUGGGAAGCCCUCUGUCCCAUCUAACCCUGUUGUCCUGGGCAUCUUUAUCGGCUCCGGCCUGGAGAAGCGAGCGGGCGGCUCGGGCGUUGUUCACGGCAGCAGCCCAGUGCAGCGCAGUUUUCCCUAGGGGACGACGUGGGAGGUUGUUACCCCAGUUGGGGGCCAGACGCCUGGGUUCCGGUUUCCCACGGGUUCUGGCCUUGGGGGAAGGGCUAUUCGGGCCGGCUGGUCCCUCAAAGGCGGGAAGCGUUGCCCAGGAGACCACCGGCCUGCAGGAAGUGUUGCCCUGGUGACGUCACCAGUGCGCGGGAGGGACAAUGGGGCAUUGUUCUGGGGUCGGUGAGACCGGGAGACAGUCUCCCCCCACGAGAUUCCCCCCCCUUUCCACAGACACUGUGUUCCAUGCCAGUUCCCCAGUAAGCUGGAGCGGAGGGCCAGUGUGGUGUUGAGGGUGGGAGUUGGGGGGGGAAACUCACGCGGCCCGUACUUCCACCGCAUCUCAGAUUGACCGCCGUAACAGCAGGAUGAGAGGGAAUGCCCCUCUGCUGCACCUAUAUUUUGCACGCUAUCUCCCACCCCAUCUGCUCAACUUCUCUAUAGCAUACAUCACCCCUUCCUCUACAUACCCCAUUUAUCUCUGGCCCCCACGUCUGCUUGGGCUGCAAUCAGUUCUUCAACCAGGUCUUCCACCGCCAGCCUGGCAGCCAGCAUCAAGGGUGUGGUCCCGUCCUCUGUGCGAGCGUCCACUGCAGUUUGUCUGCUACGGAGCAGAAGCUGGGGAGACAGAGGGCCAGUGACCCCUGGGGUACCUUGGACUGCCAACUCGAGUUCCUUACACUAUUAACCCCACUCGCAAUCCAUAUUCAGCCAUCCUCCGCAGUUUCCCUGUCAGGUUCCCAAUCACACCAAUUUCCUCCUUGUCAAACUCUAGGGGAUGCUUCUGUCCAGCUUUACUUGUAAGCUCGCCCCAUUCCCUGUAGGGACCUCAGUGUGUGCUAACCUGGCAGACCUCCCGAGCAUCAGCAGCCACAGCAGCAUGAAGGGGUGUGCGCCCUGCCCGGUCUGGCUGGUUGGGGUUGGCUCCAGCCUCAAGGAGGCGGCGGGCAGCGGUUGGCCGGGAGAAUCGGGCAGCCAGGUGCAGGGGGGUCUCCCCAGUGCCCACGGUGUGAGCCUGGGGACAGGCCCCUCCAUCCAGCAGAGGUUCCCAGGGCUCAGGACAUCCCAACCAUGCCCCUUGGAAGGUCCCGGACUGUACUUCCCCACAGCAAACUGCUGACAUCAGGGGUGUCACCCCAUCUGUUGGUAAGACAGAGUAAUGGGUCAAUCUAAAGGACACAACAAGGGGGAAGGGACAACAUGUAAGCUCAGAGAGAAUCAAAACCUGAGGUGUUGGGAAGCUAAGUUCUGGCUCUGUGUGG